rnacentral:rRNA from 1 species
UAAUACAUGCAAGUCGAGCGAACAGACGAGGAGCUUGCUCCUCUGACGUUAGCGGCGGACGGGUGAGUAACACGUGGGUAACCUACCUAUAAGACUGGGAUAACUCCGGGAAACCGGGGCUAAUACCGGAUAAUACAUGAAACCGCAUGGUUUCAUGAUGAAAGACGGUUUUGCUGUCACUUAUAGAUGGACCCGCGGCGUAUUAGCUAGUUGGUAAGGUAACGGCUUACCAAGGCAACGAUACGUAGCCGACCUGAGAGGGUGAUCGGCCACACUGGAACUGAGACACGGUCCAGACUCCUACGGGAGGCAGCAGUAGGGAAUCUUCCGCAAUGGGCGAAAGCCUGACGGAGCAACGCCGCGUGAGUGAUGAAGGUCUUCGGAUCGUAAAACUCUGUUAUUAGGGAAGAACAAGGAUGUAAGUAACUAUGCAUCCCUUGACGGUACCUAAUCAGAAAGCCACGGCUAACUACGUGCCAGCAGCCGCGGUAAUACGUAGGUGGCAAGCGUUGUCCGGAUUUAUUGGGCGUAAAGCGAGCGCAGGCGGUUUCUUAAGUCUGAUGUGAAAGCCCCCGGCUCAACCGGGGAGGGUCAUUGGAAACUGGGAGACUUGAGUGCAGAAGAGGAGAGUGGAAUUCCAUGUGUAGCGGUGAAAUGCGUAGAUAUAUGGAGGAACACCAGUGGCGAAGGCGGCUCUCUGGUCU